AGAGUUUGAUCCUGGCUCAGAAUCAACGCUGGCGGCGUGCCUAACACAUGCAAGUCGAACGAGAAAGUGGAGCAAUCCACGAGUAAAGUGGCGACCGGGUGAGUAACACGUGACUAACCUACCUCCGAGUGGGGAAUAACUCCGGGAAACCGGGGCUAAUACCGCAUAACAUCGCAAGAUCAAAGCAGCAAUGCGCUUGGAGAGGGGGUCGCGGCUGAUUAGCUAGUUGGCGGGGUAACGGCCCACCAAGGCGAAGAUCGGUAUCCGGCCUGAGAGGGCGCACGGACACACUGGAACUGAAACACGGUCCAGACUCCUACGGGAGGCAGCAGUGGGGAAUUUUGCGCAAUGGGGGAAACCCUGACGCAGCAACGCCGCGUGGAGGAUGAAGCCCUUUGGGGCGUAAACUCCUUUCGACUCGGAAGAUUAUGACGGUACGAGUGGAAGAAGCACCGGCUAACUCUGUGCCAGCAGCCGCGGUAAUACAGAGGGUGCGAGCGUUGUUCGGAAUUAUUGGGCGUAAAGGGCGCGUAGGCGGUGCGGUAAGUCACCUGUGAAAUCUCCCGGCUUAACUGGGAGCCUGCAGGCGAAACUACCGUGCUGGAGUGUGGGAGAGGUGCGUGGAAUUCCCGGUGUAGCGGUGAAAUGCGUAGAUAUCGGGAGGAACACCUGUGGCGAAAGCGGCGCACUGGACCAUAACUGACGCUGAUGCGCGAAAGCUAGGGGAGCAAACAGGAUUAGAUACCCUGGUAGUCCUAGCCCUAAACGAUGAUUGCUUGGUGUAGCAGUACCCAAUCCUGCUGUGCCGCAGCUAACGCGAUAAGCAAUCCGCCUGGGGAGUACGGUCGCAAGGCUGAAACUCAAGGAAUUGACGGGGGCCCGCACAAGCGGUGGAGCAUGUGGUUCAAUUCGACGCAACGCGAAGAACCUUACCUGGGCUCGAAAUGCA
rnacentral:rRNA from 1 species